rnacentral:rRNA from 1 species
GACGAACGCUGGCGGCGCGCCUAACACAUGCAAGUCGAACGGAGCUGAGAGAAGCUUGCUUUUCUUAGCUUAGUGGCGAACGGGUGAGUAACGCGUGAGUAACCUGCCCUGGAGUGGGGGACAACAGUUGGAAACGACUGCUAAUACCGCAUAAGCCCACGAUCCGGCAUCGGAUUGAGGGAAAAGGAUUUAUUCGCUUCAGGAUGGACUCGCGUCCAAUUAGCUAGUUGGUGAGGUAACGGCCCACCAAGGCGACGAUUGGUAGCCGGACUGAGAGGUUGAACGGCCACAUUGGGACUGAGACACGGCCCAGACUCCUACGGGAGGCAGCAGUGGGGGAUAUUGCACAAUGGGGGAAACCCUGAUGCAGCGACGCCGCGUGGAGGAAGAAGGUUUUCGGAUUGUAAACUCCUGUCGUUAGGCACGAUAAUGACGGUACCUAACAAGAAAGCACCGGCUAACUACGUG